GGUCUGGUGGUGUAGUGGUAACACGCUUGACUGUCAAUCAAGAGGUCCGGGGUUCGAAUCCCGGUCUAGGCACCG